rnacentral:lncRNA from 1 species
GAGUGUGAGCGGGGAUGAGUGNNNNNNNNNNNNNNNNNNNNNNNNNCUGCUUUUGCACAGGGACUCGGGAGCCCCAGAGGCUGCGUGGCUCUCAGACUGUCACCUACUCCUAGCUGACAUCUACAGCUGCAAGUGCCUGCCCCACCUGGUGCUGAGCUGUGUCAAGGUGGCCUCAUUGAGGGCACAGGACUCGCUGGCCGGCUCACUGAGGAGCGUGAACCUGGUGCUCCAGAACGUCCUUCAGCCCCACAGCCUCCCCACUACCUCAGGCGAGCGCUGGCCUCCCUAACCCCGGGCACAGGCCAGGCAAUGCGCGGACUUCUCCACGCCAGCCUGGCCCAGCUGUACAGCCACCGGGGCUACCACGGCCCGGCCAUCACCUUCAUGACGCAGGCGGUGGAAGCCAGUGCUGUUGCCGGAGUCCGUGCCAUCAUGGACCGCCUGGUGGCUGUGGCCUGGCUGCACGUGCUUCAGGGGCAGAGCCCAGCGGCCCUGAACAUCCUGCAGUCUGUCCAGGAUGCAGUGGUGGCCAGCGAGGACCAGGAGGGCGUGAAUGCCAACAUGGUGGCCAUGGCUCUGAAGAGAACGGGCCGGACGAGGCAGGCAGCCGAGAGCUACUACCGCGCCCUACGGGUGGCUUGGGACCUGGGCCAGAGGAGGAACCAGGCAGUGGUGCUGGCCAACUUCGGGGCCCUGUGCCUGCACGCGGGUGCCAGCAGGCUGGCCCAGCACUACCUCCUGGAGGCCAUGAGGCUGUUCUCGAGGCUGCCCUGCAGGAAGUGUGGCCGGGACUUCACCCACCAGGGCCUGGCUCAGCAGGGCAAAGGCUACUACGAGUGGGCCCGUCUGGUCGCCGUGGAGAUGGGCCACGUGGAGAGGCCUACAAAUCCGCUCUGGACUACACCAAACGAAGUCUGGAGAUUUUCAUUGACCUCCAGAGGAAAGAGGAGGAGGCGCAUGCCUGGCUGCAAGCAGGGAAGAUCUAUUACAUCCUGCGGCAGAGCGAGCUGGUGGACCUGUACAUCCAGGUGAGUGACAAGGGAUGCAGGAGGACCCCUGUGCUGUUCACUCUCUGUCCAUCCACCCAUCCAUUCAUCCUUCCAUCAUCUAUCUGUUUACCUGCUCAUCCUUCUAUCCAUCAUCUAUCCAUCAUCUUCCCAUACACCUGUGGGUCCUUCCAUCCAUCCAUCCAUCCUUCCAUCAUCCAUCCAUUCACCUGUUCGUCUUUCCAUGCAACCAUCCAUCCAUCCAUCCUUUUAUCAUCCAUUCAUUCACCUCUCCAUCCAUCUAUUCACCUGUUCGUCCAUCCAUCCAUCCAUCCAUCCUUCCAUCUUUCCAUCAUCCAUCCAACUGUUCAUCCUUCUAUCCAUCCAUCAUUCUUCUGUUCACCUCUUGGUCCGUCCAUCCGUCCAUCCUUCCAUCUUUCCGUUAUCCAUCCAACCAUCUUCCAUCCAUCCAUGAUCCAUCCAUUCAUUCAUCAUCCAUCCUUUUAUCCUCCAUCCAUCCAUUCACCUGUUCAUCCAUCCCUCCAUCCAUUCUUCCAUCCUUCCAUCAUCCAUUCACCUGUUCAUUCUUCCAUCCAUCCAUCCUUCAUCCAUCCAUUCAACCAUAUAUCCAUCCAUCCAUCCACUCAUCUCCUGUUCAUCCUUCCAUCCAUCCAUUCAUCCAUCCUUCCAUCCAUCCAUCUUUCCAUCAUCCAUCCAUUCAUCUGUUCAUCCUUCCAUCCAUCAUCCAUCCAUCCAUCCUUUUAUCAUCCAUCCAUUCACCUGUUCAUCCAUCCAUCCGUCCAUUCAUCCUUCCAUCAACUAUCCAUUCACCU